UUUUUGUUUUCAAAGAGCGGUACUUAUCCAGAACUCUUGGUCCCAUACGGGCACGCCCCUCCAAUGUAGUAGGCAAAGCACCACCCUAACUUUGCCUCAUAGAUCUGGGACUACACAUUAUAAAAUAAAACAUGAAAGUAUACUCCAAUCAGUCCUUACUGCUUACUGGACAGCAAUUCAGGCCAUCCUAUUCUGCUUUUACCAGUUGUAUAAAACAUUGAUGAGACUUCGAAGUUCAGAAAGAGUUUAUACUCAGAAGACCAAAAGUCACAAUAUAACAAAGACAUGUGUACCAGAAUGUUUACUGCAGCCCAAUUCAUAAUUGCUAAGUCAUGGAAGAAGCCCAAGUGCCCAUUGACCCACGAAUGGUUUAGCA